GUCGCUACUACCGAUUGGAUGGUUUAGUGAGGCCCUCGGAUCGGCCCCGCCAUUAAUUUGGUGGAGGCCGCGAGAACUUGUCCAAACCUUAUCAUUUAGAGGAAGGUGAAGUCGUAA
rnacentral:rRNA from 1 species